CGCCGCGGUUAAACGAGAUAACCCUAGUUGAUAGGCACGGCGUAAAGAGUGGUUAAGGGUAUUAACAAAAUAAAGCCAAAAACCCUCCUAGCUGUACUACGCUCCUCGAGGACAUGAAACCCUAUAACGAAAGUAGCUUUAACCUUAUAAUCCUGACCCCACGAAAGCUAAGAAA
rnacentral:rRNA from 1 species